rnacentral:rRNA from 1 species
UAGGGAAUAUUGGACAAUGGGCGAAAGCCUGAUCCAGCCAUGCCGCGUGAAGGAUGAAGGGCCUCUGGCUUGUAAACUUCUUUUGGCGGGGGAUAAACCACCACUACAAGUGGUGCUGAAGGUACCCGCAGAAUAAGCACCGGCUAACUCCGUGCCAGCAGCCGCGGUAAUACGGAGGGUGCAAGCGUUGUCCGGAUUCAUUGGGUUUAAAGGGUGCGUAGGCGGUACGCUAAGUCAGUGGUGAAAUCCUGGGGCUCAACCCCUGAAUUGCCAUAGAUACUGGCGUGCUUGAGUUCGACCGAGGCGGUUGGAAUGCGUGGUGUAGCGGUGAAAUGCUUAGAUAUCACGCGGAACACCGAUUGCGAAGGCAGAUCGCUAGGUCGCGACUGACGCUGAGGCA